ACAUUGGUGGUUCAGUGGUAGAAUUUUCACCUUCUAUAUGGGAGACCUGGGUUUGAUUCCUGGCCAGUGUA
rnacentral:tRNA from 1 species